rnacentral:rRNA from 1 species
CCUACGGGAGGCUGCAGUGAGGAAUAUUGGUCAAUGGGGGGAACCCUGAUCCAGCGACGCCGCGUGAGUGAAGAAGUAUCUCGGUAUGUAAAGCUCUAUCAGCAGGGAAGAAAGAAAUGACGGUACCUGACUAAGAAGCCCCGGCUAACUACGAGCCAGCAGCCGCGGUAAUACGGAGGGGGCAAGCGUUAUCCGGAUUUACUGGGUGUAAAGGGAGCGUAGACGGUUACGUAAGUCAGGAGUGAAAGGCGGGGGCCCAACCCCCGGAUUGCAUUGGAAACUGGAUGACUUGAGUGCAGGAGAGGUAAGUGGAAUUCGUAGUGUAGCGGUGAAAUGCGUAGAUAUUAGGAGGAACACCAGUGGCGAAGGCGGCUUACUAAACUGUAACUGACGUUGAGGCUCGAAAGCGUGGGGAGCAAACAGGAUUAGAUACCCCUGUAGUC